AGAGUUUGAUCCUGGCUCAGGAUGAACGCUAGCGGCAGGCCUAAUACAUGCAAGUCGAACGGCAGCGGGUGUAGCAAUACAUGCCGGCGAGUGGCGCACGGGUGCGUAACGCGUAUGCAACCUACCCAUAACUGGGGGAUAGCCCGGAGAAAUUCGGAUUAAUACCCCAUAAUAUAUCGGAUUGGCAUCUUUCUGAUAUUAAAGCUCAGGCGGUUAUGGAUGGGCAUGCGUGACAUUAGUUUGUUGGUGAGGUAACGGCUCACCAAGACUACGAUGUCUAGGGGUUCUGAGAGGAUGAUCCCCCACACUGGUACUGAGACACGGACCAGACUCCUACGGGAGGCAGCAGUAAGGAAUAUUGGGCAAUGGAGGCAACUCUGACCCAGCCAUGCCGCGUGAAGGAUGAAGGCCCUAUGGGAUGAAAACUUCUUUUGUAUGGGAAUAAACGCGGAUACGAGAAACCGUCGGAAUGUACCAUAAGAAUAAGCACCGUGUAAC
rnacentral:rRNA from 1 species